GAUGAAGAACGUAGCGAAAUGCGAUACGUAAUGUGAAUUGCAGAAUUCAGUGAAUCAUCGAAUCUUUGAACGCAUAUUGCGCUCUCUGGUAUUCCGGAGAGCAUGCUUGUUUGAGUAUCAGUAAACACCUCAACUCCCUUUUCUUUUUUGAAAUUGGAGCUGGACUUGAGUGAUCCCAACGCUUUCUUCCAAGAAAGUGGCGGGUUGCUUGAAAUGCAGGUGCAGCUGAACUUUUCUCUGAGCUAUAAGCAUAUCUAUUUAGUCUGCCUAAAAAACAGAUUAUUACCUUUGCUGCAGCUAACAUAAAGGAGACUAGUUCUUGUGCUGACUGAUGCAGGAUUCACAGAGAUAGCUUCGGCUGACUUUGUAAACUCGAUCUCAAAUCAAGUAAGACUACCCGCUGAACUUAAGCAUAUCAAUAAGCGGAGGA
rnacentral:misc_RNA from 1 species